rnacentral:tRNA from 3 species
ACUCUAAUAGUUUAUGAAAAACAUU